rnacentral:rRNA from 1 species
GAUGAACGCUGGCGGUGUGCCUAAUACAUGCAAGUCGAGCGAACAGAUGAGGAGCUUGCUCCUCUGACGUUAGCGGCGGACGGGAGAGUAACAUGUGGAUAACAUACCUAUAAGAAUGGGAUAACUUCGGGAAACCGGAGCUAAUACCGGAUAAUAUAUUGAACAGCAUGGUUCAAUAGUGAAAGACGGUUUUGCUGUCACUUAUAGAUGGCUCCGCGCCGCAUUAGCUAGUUGGUAAGGUAAUGGCUGACCAAGGCAACGAUGAGUAGCCGACCUGAGAGGGUGAACGACCACACUGGAACGGAGGCACGGUCCAGACUCCUACGGGAGGCAGCAGUAGGGAAUCUUCCGCGAAGGGCGAAAGCCUGACGGGGCAACGCCGCGUGAGUGAUGAAGGUCUUCGGAUCGAAAAACGCUGUUAUUAGGGAAGAACAAAUGUGUAAGUAACUAUGCACGUCUUGACGGUACCUAAUCAGAAAGCCACGGCUAACUACGUG